rnacentral:rRNA from 1 species
AACGAACGCUGGCGGCAUGCCUAACACAUGCAAGUCGAACGAGACCUUCGGGUCCUGUCGCGCACGGGUGCGUAACGCGUGGGAAGCUGCACUUAGGGUCGGCAUAACUCUCCGACAGGGGUGAUAACAGGGGAUCAUGUCUUCGGCCGAAAGAUUUAUCGCCUUUGGAUGGUCCCGCGUUGGAUUCGCUUGUGCGUAGGGUUAAAGACUACCAAGGCGACGAUUCAUAGCUUGGCAGAGAGGAUGAUCAGCCACACUGAGACUGAGACACGGCCCAGACUCCUACGGGAUGCAGCAGUGGGGAACAUUGGACCAUGGGCGAAAUCCUGAUGCAGCAAUGCCGGGUGAGUGAUGAAGGCCGUAGGGUUGUAAAGCGCUUUUACCCAGGAUGAUAAUGACAGUACCGGGAGAAUAAGCUCCGGCUAACUCCGUG